rnacentral:rRNA from 1 species
AUGGCCGGCUCCCGGCUCGUCCAUCUCUUCCUUCUCAUCCUCUUCUUCCCCUCCCUCCGCGCCGCCCCCAACACCACCGCCGUGGUGUCCAGGAUCGCAUUUGGCUCCUGCGCCAACCAGAGCGCGCCCCAGCCCGUGUGGGAGGCCAUCGUGGGGUUCGACCCGCAGGUCUUCAUCUGGCUCGGGGACAACGUCUACGGGGACAACAAGCGCCCGUUCCGGGUGUUCGGGAGGGAGCGCACGGUGGGGCCCUGGAGGAACGUGCCGCGCUUCUACCCGGCGACCGAGGAGGAGCUGCGCCGGAAGUACGAGCUGGCCAAGGCUAACCCGGGGUACGCCAAGCUGAGGGAGAGGGCUAGGGUCAUUGGAACAUGGGAUGACCAUGAUUAUGGAGUGAAUGAUGCAGGAAAGGAAUAUAGUGGGAAAGUGUUAUCCCAAAGGCUUCUAUUAGAUUUCCUGGAUGAAGACGAAGACAGUCCACGGAGGAAACAAGCAGGUGUUUAUGCCUCAUACAUGUUUGGCCCCGAAGGAAAACGUGUAAAGGUAAUAAUGUUGGACACCAGAUAUCACAGAGACCCACUCUUAAGUGAUGGAACUAUACUUGGAGAUCCUCAGUGGCAGUGGCUGGAGAGGGAGCUACGUGGUCCUCAGUCAGAGAUGACCAUCAUUGGAUCUUCAAUUCAGGUGGUGUCCAAUCUUUCUGCCACCACUCGACCUUUGUUCUAUGUGGAGUCUUGGGCAUGCUUUCCGAGGGAAAGAGAACGGCUGUUUAGACUGAUCGAUAGCAGUAAGAGAAAUGGGGUCUUAUUUAUUAGUGGUGAUGUUCAUUUUGGAGAAAUCGCUCGUUUUGACUGCGGUGUUCAAUAUCCAUUGUAUGAUAUUACCUCGAGUGGUCUUACUCAGUCUGUCGAGAAUUCUGUACCAGCAAUAUUUCAAUCUGUUAUGAGACUUCUGGCUUGGCUGACACCAACCCCCAUGCGAGUCUUCAGCCCUAACUGCCGUCACAAAUCAUGCUCAUAUGGUCAGCCAAAUUUUGGAGCAAUCGAAAUAGAUUGGAAUGCAGUAACUCCACGGGUUAAAAUUGAACUAAGAGAUUUACAGGGCAAUUCUGUUGAUGGUGUGGAGUUCCCUAUAUCUGAGCUGAAGCCAUCAAAUGCACAUGCAAACAAAAAAGAAGGGCAUUCUUUUGAAGCACAUUGUAGUCUCGAAACAGAGCUUCCAUGGCUGCUACGGUACCGCCUUGCGAUGCUAUUCUUUGGCACCAUUGCCGUUUUUGUCGUUGCUUUGGUGCUUGUCGGAAUCGCUUGCUGUUCAGCUACUAAAAUGUUUACUAGGAAGUGCAAGAUGGCAUAG